AGUGAACGCUGGCGGUAGGCCUAACACAUGCAAGUCGAACGGCAGCACAGUAAGGGCUUGCUCUUACGGGUGGCGAGUGGCGGACGGGUGAGGAAUACAUCGGAAUCUACUUUUUCGUGGGGGAUAACGUAGGGAAACUUACGCUAAUACCGCAUACGACCUACGGGUGAAAGCAGGGGAUCUUCGGACCUUGCGCGAUUGAAUGAGCCGAUGUCGGAUUAGCUAGUUGGCGGGGUAAAGGCCCACCAAGGCGACGAUCCGUAGCUGGUCUGAGAGGAUGAUCAGCCACACUGGAACUGAGACACGGUCCAGACUCCUACGGGAGGCAGCAGUGGGGAAUAUUGGACAAUGGGCGCAAGCCUGAUCCGGCCAUACCGCGUGGGUGAAGAAGGCCUUCGGGUUGUAAAGCCCUUUUGUUGGGAAAGAAAAGCAGCAGGUUAAUACCCCGCUGUUCUGACGGUACCCAAAGAAUAAGCACCGGCUAACUUCGUG
rnacentral:rRNA from 1 species